CACAGAGCUGCCUCUGCUGCUGCCUUUCUUCUGUGAAAGCCUUCAAAUGCAAGCCUUUCUGUGCCGGCUUUUAUUUUCCCUUUAUAGACUCACUGCUUUGUGUUUGGCAGCAGGCACAGAGACAGGUCAGUGCCUAUAGGAGUGAGGGAGGAAAGCAUAGGUUGAAAGUUGGGCACCUAGAUGCAUAGACAGGCAGUGGAUGCAAUUAAAAGAAGAGUUUAUAAUGAUGUGUGGGAGACACAGACCUCAGCUCCCAGUCGAGUGGCACUGGGGAAUGGUUGUCCCAUCUGGCAUAUCCCAUCUCAUCACCCUGUCCCCUUGUGAGACUGCAUUUUUGCUCAGGAUCAUGUCACCCAGGAGAAAGUGACUUAAUGGAAAGGGCUGGAAUAUGGGAAGACGAGCAGUUUUCCAGUCUUGAAGAUACAGGCAAUGACAGACUUGUAGGAAAUUGGGUUCUGAUGUUUGUGGGGAGAUGUUUUGUUGUGAGCAAGAAAUGAGUUUUAGCAGUGCUUUCAAGAAUGUGUUUUCACCUGUGUCCAAAUACAAAGACAAAAAGCAAUGACCGAAAUUAUUUCUUCCUCAAAAAACGCCCACUGGAAGGAACAGCAAGUGUGUUAGUUUGCUUUAGAUGUGGGAUUUCAGCCUAUUUUUGGUUUUAUUUGCUCCUCUCUGUGUUCAUCUCCAGCUGCCGCCGUCCUUUCCCUUCCUUCUAUGUAAUUCCCACAACUUUGAAACUGCUGCUUUGGACUUAUCACAGCAGGGGAGGAAAACCAGGUCCCCUCCAGUCUGCUCACACACACACCACGACUUAAGUUUUUCUCCCCAUGAAUGGCAUUGCUGCUCAGCUGCCUUGUCUGGUGGGCUUUCAGCCACGUGUAAGCACACCGGUCUGGUUCAUACACACUUAAAAACACUCCUUCCACAGCGAGUGGCACUGCUCCCAAGCCUAAUUGCUCUCUCUGGCCUUAACCCACCAUUGAUUUCCUAUUUUCUGUUCCUCUCCUCUGCUGUCCAAAGCUGUUUCCCUGCCGGUGCCCCUAACACAGGUGUGUUCUGUUUGCUCCUUAUCAUGAUGGGAAUGGUAUAAAUGAUGUUACCCAGCAGCUGAGCUGCUUGGUCCUGCUGCAUGUGAGGGCUGCAAUGGCGAUGGGAAUGCUGGCAAGGAUGGAGGCAGCUUGGUAAACAACAAAUGGUCCUUUUCACCCAAGAGAUAAGAUUGUUCAUCUUCCAAAGUCACCGGCACUUGUGCGUCGGGUCUAGAGCAGUUUGAAUAAUGAGCCUUCGGGAGAACUCGUGUUUCUCUCCGUGUCCUUUUCUUAACAAAGACCUGAGACUCCCCAGGCAGCGGUGGCUCCGCCAGGCGCAGAAUGCGACAGGAGCUGCUUCUGAAGGGCACAAGUUACAGAGAAGAUUUUCUUCUUUUCUCCUCCACUUCUCCAAUUGUACUUUUGUCAGGCGCAGUCACCAAACAAUUGCUCCUUUACAGAGAAAUUCCCACCAGGAGCGACGCCAACGUUGCUGAGCGGAUCCCCCUCCUCCCUUACAAGCUGCUAUCUCGCAGUGCCUCACGUUUACUUUUCAAUCAGAAAGAAAAAGCAAAGCAGACCUUUCUUGUGUCCUGAAAGCCUUGCUUUUGUGGCUUUUCAAUGUUGCGUUUCCUCAUCUGUUUUUUAGCAUGUCCCAGCUCUUGCACCCUGCUCCAUUCCCCUCAGCAAUGCUUGUUGCUGCACUCCUGCAUCCUCUCACAGCAUCCCAGGGAAAGGAUGCUUUUCUCUCCUGUCUCAGUGAAGGCCCUGAAAGAGGUCUUUAUGACCAGACAAACCCCGUGGCAGGCAGAAGGGUGGCUGUUAGCAGCCACUCCAUCACUUUCCCUUACUGUGUUGAGAGCCCAUUGACAUACUGCAAGCACAGUAACCUAGCACCAUGCUGGGAGCGGUGGUUGUUGGGAAAGCACUUCUAUUCAUGCUUAAGAUCAUCCACUGCCGGGCUCUGUUUAAGCACCUGCUUAAACAUCCACACUUCCGUGGCUGAUAAGAUGUGCUGUAAGUCUCAUCUCACCUUCUCCACCAGUUCUGGCUCCGUGCAGACAUUUGCAGUAUUACAGUGUGGUGGCCUUUGCCAGGAGCAGGACAAUGAGCUGCUUUCCUGAUUGCAAAACUUCCCUGGCUUGGCUGAAAAGGCAGCUGGAAAAAAACCCCUUUGAGAGUUACAGCUGCCUGCAACUGGAGCCCUGAAAAUAGUCACAAAAUAUGGAGGUUAUAAAAUAACAGAAGGCUCUUGCUCAGAAGUAAAGUAGUAAGAAUGCAAUUCAUUCUCCCUACUUUGGGGUGCAGCCACAGAAAAAGGAAGAAGUGUUUUGUUUCCUGGCUGCUGAAUGGGCAAAGAUGGAUCUGAAGAAUCAAGCUGGGUUUUUCUUCCGUGUAUGUCCUUUGGAGCCUGUGAACCUGCUGAUCAUCCCCAUUCCUUGUGCAGUGCAGCCUGGGCUGAGAUCCCUGCACUGGUCAUGGCAGUGCUGAAAGGAUGCAGCAAUGCGGGAAGACAUUGGGUGCCAUGCAGCAUUGGAGUCAUGGGGCAGACAGACUGGAGGAGGAAAGGAGCCUGCUCACAUCAUUGGAUUCCUGUGUCCACAAAAGCUUUUGCAGGAACCCUUCCCUGGCUGAAGUGCAGCACAGUGGCCUGAUGCAGAGCCAUUGGAACAGCGCAUUUGAGCAUUUAAAAUACAUUAAAGGAGCACUCCCUUUGAAGUGGGGAACUAUUUCUAUUUAAUCAGAGAGAAACAACUUCUCAAAAGACUUUUUUCCCCCUCUUCUUUACCUUCAACUGUCUGGCUUCUCCUGUGGAUAGUACCAUGAAUAAAACAUGCAUAUCCCAAUUAAAUCUUGAUUUAAUUUCCCUUCUUUGCAAAGCUGAUGAACUCCAGCGCUUUCAUAAAGACGUGAACAUUAGCAUUCUUUUGUGAUAUGCAAGCCAGUCAGAGAAACAAGGGACUCCAAUCAUCACUCCCAUCUCUUGGCCUUGCCAGGCUCUGUGCUGACUUAGGGAAGAAGCCCUCAUCUGGAAUAAUCCUUGGAACAUUGGCCAUGCCCAGUCCAGUGACUGGGCACUCAUUACUUCUCUGGGUGCCUGAGAAGGUGCAGUGAAACAAACCCACUUGUUCUUC